UGCCCGGUGGUGUAACGGUAGCACAAGUGCCUCUGGAGCAUUUUGUCGAGGUUCAAAUCCUUGCCGGGCAG
rnacentral:tRNA from 1 species